AAGGUCUCAAGGUAGCUGAGGAACUGUGCCUGAGGCCCAUUGAUCAGUAUUCUCCAUUGCAGACGCAGGAGGUGGCAAGACUAAAACACUAAAGGCCAAACCCUAUUAUGCCUUUUAGAAACAGAAUCAUACCUUACAAAUUAUCAUAGUACUCAGCAAGAUUACAUUUUAAGAUUUGAAAUUGGAGUCAUUUCCCUCAGCGUUAGGAGCAAAGUUGUAAAGUGCAAAGGUUUGAAGGAUUACCCCUUUGACAAUAUAGUUAUUUCUGAAACGAUUCAAUUCUUUCCCUUAUUUUCGUUUUCCAUGAGGUAUUAUCACCUCUUGUUUUACACCUUUCAUUACACCCGAUUUCUCUGAGGAAAAGAAGGUAUUGUAAGGAGCAAGAUCCAACAGUGAGACUUAACACCUUAACAGCCUUUUAGAAAUCCUACUGUCUCGUAGUAGAUAAUCUCAAAGCUUCCAGGGUUUUCAGCGACUGUUGAAGAAAGAUUUGUGUUUACCGAUCUGGAGGAGGAUAUUAGGUUUGAACAAUCUCUGAAGAAGAUUAAAAUGAAAAAAAAAAAUUGUCCCCCAUUUUGAACUACUAUACUACACUCUGGCGCCCCCCACCAGGCUUCUUUCUGGAAUUAGUGUCUGGGGGGAUAACUUUGGGGCUUAAGGGCUUUUGAGAAAAACUGAUAACAUAAAUAAAUAAUUAAUUAAUUAAUAAAUACAACACAACUCUGGCAGAUUCAUCAGCACCACCUCAACACCAUAGAGGGGAGAGAGCAAGAUUCACAGGACAAAGGGUGGGAAGGGAGGGGCUUGCAAGGCAAGACAGGGCAAGGUGGUGGAGAGAGGAGUCUUGGGCUUAAAGCAAGUCCAAUUCGAAGGAGUGGAUGCUGGCAAUGGGAGCUCUCCAGAAGUUGAAGGUGCUGUACUCCAGGAGGGCAUCGCCUUCGGAGUGUUUCUCCUGUUCAACUCCAGUUGGUUGCCCGGUCAUCUUGCCAGCGCUGCUGUCUUUGAUCUUGUAGGUGGAUGUAUCUGACAGACCCAGGCCUUCCAGCUCCGACAGAUCCAGCUCUGGAAUGGGCAUCCUCCAGAAAAGAAAGGAGCUGUACUGGCUACUCACAGGGUCCCUCAUAACUUCCUAGAAAGGAACCAGCUGUUAGUCCUCAUUCUAUAGCAACCUCUUCAUGGCCCACGGCCUUUCCUUACUUCAAAACUUCACAAGGGCACCCAGGUGGCUCCUUCGGUUAAGCAUCCAACUCUUGAUUUGGGCUCAGGUCAUGACCUCACUGUUCAUGAGACGGAGCCCCCCCCCCCCCCCCCCCCCCCCCNCCCCCCCCGCACUGGGCUCUGCACUGACAGCACAGAGCCUGCUUAGGCUUCUCUUUCCCCCUCUCUCUGCCCCUCUCCCACUUGUAGGCACGCCCUUUCUCUCUCAAAAUAAAUGAAGGUUAAAAAAAAAAACUUAUAAAAAAAGAAACCUUAAAAAAAAAAUAAAAACCUCCCAUUAUCAUUUGCCUCUGUACGUGAUCCAGAUUUCCUAGGACAAGCUUUGGGAACCUUUCCUUUAUUACUAUUUUCUACCAUUUCCUGCCUUCUCCCAUCUUGGAAGGACUUAUUCACUGCCUAAUGCUUCAAGUCAAUCUUGGGUCUGGUUUUCAAGGCUUUCUAGAAUUUGGCUCAUCCUUCCUAGCCAUGGUACAGUCUCUGCUAGUUAUGCUCAUUUCUGUCUUGCUUAACUUUGUCUACUCUCCAUCUUUUGUAUUUAUUAUUAUUUCUUUUACGUACAAGAUCAUCGGUUUACAACAAAAGGAUACAACUCUGGAAUGGCAGAUGGAGGAGAUACACAAGGCCAAGUACAGGAAGAGGGCGCAGAGCUCCCAUGCCCUCUCCAGGUGCUCCACUCUCCCCACAUCAUGUGUUUCCACCAACCUGGAAAGCUCCUCUCUGCUCUCCAUCUUAAAAUACCACCCAAAUUUCAAGACUACCACGAGUCCCUAGAAGAAUUCAAGUCCUUAGAGAAAUCAUUCCCCUGAAUUCUUAUGUUUUUAAAUACUUGGCUUUUUCCUAACUUUGGUUUAAUAGGUACCUCUUAAAAGGGCUUUGAGAGAGAGAGAGAGAGAAAGCAUGAGCCAGGAAGGGGCAAGAGAAAGAGGGAGACACAGAAUCUAAAGCAGGCUCCAGGCUCUGAGCUGUCAGCACAGAGCCUGAUGCAGGGCUUGAACCCAUGAUUGUGUCCUGAGCUGAAGUCAGACGCUCAACUGACUUAGCCACCAAAGCACCCCUAAUUUUCUCUCUUUAUCCAUCCAUAACUUGCCACUCCCAUCUUUUAGCCCACAGGUAAGCCUGAACAGCCUGUAUUUAUAGUUUUCUCUAGCCUACCUCUCCUUCAAAACAAAGCCCAGGUAGGUGCUGAAAGAAUUUUCCUAUGCUAUAACAAGAUCUUGAUUCUCUGAUCCUAAUGCUAGAAUUUACCUGAGAGCAAAUGGAUUGGGAAUUCCAGGUAAGGAAAGUAAGAGUUUAGACCAGAAGGAGAAAGUCCUUUGACAGAAUUCGAUACUUUUCUAUGCUCUAACAAGUACUCCUAUCAUCUUUUCCCACCCACACCCUGAUGUUAUAGGACUAGUAUGCCUCCUGCACCCUGCUGGUUACUAGCCAAGAAGGGGCAAAAGCAUUAGUUGAAAUGUUCACAAAGAAGCAGAAUGAACAUUCCACUGCCUCCAAAAAUAGAACCCCAUUUUAAAAGGCCUUCCUCCCAGUACACUCCAUUGGCUCCUACCAGGCCUGAGGCUCCUAAACAGUGGCUUUAAAUAGGUUCCCAACUGCCCCCAUAUAAUGUGUUAGGCGAACAUGAGAACCACUGCACUACAGGAACUAUAACCGCAUAUAAUGUGAACUGUCUCUACUGAGCCAGAACAAAAAAGCCUUAAUCUAGAGCACAGUUAUGUGUGAGUGUAGGGGCUUUAGGACUGGUGAGUGGGCAGACCAGGAUGUUUUUAAUGUUAAAAGCCAGUUCUCAGUUGCUCUUUUUCUUCUGAGGUUCAGGCUCCAAAAUAAACCCUGGGAACUGAGCAUUACUCAGCAGAGAAAUUGCUUAGAAGGAAGGUUAUGUGGGGACUGGAACAGGGUGGGGGAGGGUGCUGGAAAGGUGAGGUCAUCAUCCUAUGAUACUCAACUCUGAUCAUUUCCACAGUAAUUUCCAGAGACAUGUGCACAGAAAGAGUUACAAAAAAUGGUUGGACCUAUCAGACUACCUACUCUGGCUUCAGACAGGGACCACCUUAGGAUCAUCAAUGUUACGGACUUCUGACCAGAGACUUUUUUUUUUUCCUCUUCUUCUUCUUCCUUCCUUCCUUUUCUUUUUUAACUAAAUUGCCAGUUAUUUGCCUACAUUGCUGGCUUUUUUUUUUUUUUUAAUAUCUCCUCCCUUACCAGUCCUCUCCAGAUCAAGCUUAGUAUAAUAUGGGCACAUGAUAGAGUCUUUAAAAAAUAGAAUCACAGGGGGGAAAAAUCAUAGAAUUUUAAAACUAGAAGAUAUGUUUAGGGUUCCUGGAUGGCUCCAUCAGUGGAGUGUUUUACUCUUGAUCUUGGGGUUGUGAGUUUGAGCCUCAUGUUGGGUGUAGAGAUUACUUAAAUAAAUAUAUUCUGUGCUGUAACAUACGGUAUAUAUUUUUUUUUAAAAAGGAAAGAAAAGAAAACAUGUUAGAAAUUAUCUGCUGACUCGUGAAGCCUUCCAGCCAGUUAGAACAUAGGUCUCAUUCCCCAUCUGGUCUUUGUUGAUGUGUUGUACAUAGAUAGUUGCGUACAGUUUUAUAUAAUCCUAUACCAAUAUUCUCAAAACUUGCAAGAAUUCUUAGUUGCUGAAGAACAGAUACUCAGUAGAUUAGAUGUUGACUGUUCCUGUGAUUCUGAUCUGAAUGAUGAAAAUGCAGAAGACAGUAGAGAGCAAGCUAGAAUCUGAGACAGUGAAAAAGCUCUUUGACAAACUGACUACUUUUCUUAAAACCAGAUAUGUAUAAAAAUUGUCUAAACAAUCCCUGAGCGUCUGGCAGAGCGUAUCUUGCAAUAAAAAAAUGCUAAAGGAAAUUUUACAAAAUAUUAACUUACAAGGCCUAAAAUCUCUAGCUAUGCCAUGAACUCGGAGACAUGUACAGAGAGUACCAAAUGCAUAGAAAGACACUCAUACAAGCAUGUAUGACAUUUAAAUUCAAGUCAAGAACACUGACCACACAGAAAAUUGCAACUAAAAUACCAUUCACUCUACUCUCAUCAGUAAGGAAAUUCUGGUGUUUAAUAUAGUAUGGAUUUAAUUCCCAAGUCUCCAAAUUUUGCAGGAGGUCCCUGUUCAGCAAGCUUUCUCUUCCCCUCCCCAACUGUUCUCCAUCCAUACCUCAUCUCUCUUUCCAUUUCUUAAAGGGCUUGGACAGUGCCUUGUACCACAAUAUAUGCUCAAUAAAUCCUUCCAAAUGUCCUUCAUUUUAAAUGAUCCAGAUACUUUAGGCAAAGGUAAUUUCUAAAUAUCACCCUUUGUAUUCUUAGGGAUACGUGAUUAGCAAAUAUGUAGUAUAAAAAGACACACUCUCUCUGAGCCCCACAGACACACCCAAAUACCCUUUGUCUAGACCCUCUGUGGGAACCCAAGGCCUACCUGCCUGACAGGGCCUUGCUGUGUCAUGCUGCCACCAUUGGGGGGAAUGACAGGGAUGGUGGUUGGAGGGGAUGGAAGCUCUCUGGCAUUUCAGUAUAAGUGCCUCCCUCAUUCUGGUCUUGGAUUUCCCUGUUAGCCAUGACCUUCCCCCAUCUAUUCUCACUGAGCUGCAAAUAAGCAUUCCUUCCCAGAAUCUGCUAUGUAGCUUUUGUGGGCUGUACUGAUUUCAAUAUAGGAUCAGGCAGUUCUCCAACACAGAGGCCCCCACCUUCCUACCUCAAGCUGCCUCUUUCUUUGGAGCAAAGGUUUGAGAUGGGGAGUGAGAGGCUGUUAAACGAGAGGUCAGGAUUACUUUCAAUAUUAUGUCAUCCCUUCCCCCAAAUUCCCUCCUAUGGAGACAAAUAAGUUUGGGGUGAAGGCAGACACAUCAAUAGAACACCACAGAAAAAAAGUAUGUGUGUGUAUGUAUNNNNNUGUAUGUAUAUAUAUAUAUAUAUAUAUAUAUAUAUAUGGAAGUACAGGCUAGAGCAAAUACUACAGAUUCAUCAAAAAACAGGUAAAACAAAUUAUAGCUUGAAAAGGAAGAUGGAGAUAACAAAUGAAGAUAAUAAAACACCUAAGACAAAUUCUAGGCAAAUAGAUACUUGAAAUGAGAUAAACGCUGAGAAAUAAUAAUUCCAUGUAAAUUGUUAGAAAUUAAUGUCUGUGUAUUAGAAGGCAAUAAUGGAAAUCUUAGCAAAGGGAUCUAAAAGGUGACCAAAACCUACCCAUUGUUCACAGCGCCCCUUCUCUUGAACUGUCCCUACCUCAUCCUUAUUAAGGGUCUUCAACCUAACUAGAAGCAGCUGCUCUUUUAUCUUUGCAGCCCCUUGCCCCCCUUCCCGCAAUUUAGUUUACCUGUUAUCAAUGAAUUACUAGUGUGUUCCCAAGAUGGAAGGAGUACCUCGAGGCUCCGGCGUCUGCUCAGGGCUGGAGAGAAAGCAAGCUGUUGGGGCUUUGACGGCUUUGUCUUCUCACUCCCUCUCUCGCUCCAGUGGCUGAGUCUAUCUGCUCAGUCUCCCCCUGCAAUGCAGCCCCUCCUAAGAAGGGCGGAAGGACUCCCCGCCCCCUCCUUGCCUGACUCGGCUAAUUCAAAUGAUAGGUUCCAGAACACUUCAGGGAGGGAGACAGGAUUAAAGCAUCUUCGUAGGCUUUAUUGGUCGGCACAAUUAUUCCGGAGCUCUUCCCGCACCCCCCUGCUGCCUGGGGUGCAAUGAAUGAGUAGUUAAUUGUCCCCUAAUUUUAGGCUUAUGGAUUUAAAAAGCUUAACUCUGGAUAACAAUAGAGGGGUGUCCCUUUAUGCCUCAAUUUAAGGAUUUCAAGUUACGAAAUGUUUUAUUUUUGAGAAUCCGAAAAAAAAUCCUCGCCCCUCCCCCCUCCAAUCCCUACUCCUGCGACUCGCCUCCGCACCCUCACAAUGAGUAAAUAAACCUAGCCCCAUUCCACUUCGGGGAGAGCACGGGAGGAUGGGGUGGGGUGCUUCCACGAAUCUCUAAACUUAGUCGGGCUCGGGGGAUUUGGGGGCUCCUCUUAGUUUUGCCCCGCAAUGCCUGGCGCGCAAGGGGGGACGUGAGGCUGCGGGCAUCGCGGCUUGGGCGCGCCCCCCACCCCCCCGCCCACGGCCCGCGCAGGGGUGCCAGCCGGCCGAAGCCGCCAGGCCACCUCCCACGGCCCCGUGUGGUGCAGUGCCUCCCCAGUCCGGGGGGGAGCAGUGCGCCCAGCUCCGGGCCGGACGGGUUUCGUAAUCGCGUCGCCGCCGUUUCCGCCCCGAGCCAGCCCCACCUCUGCCGGCCCGCCCUCGGCUCUCCCACCGCGCCGCGGAGCCAGCCCGGGAAGCCCACACCGGCGGGCACGGCGCGGGAGCCCCCACCC
rnacentral:lncRNA from 1 species